AAAUUGAAGAGUUUGAUCAUGGCUCAGAUUGAACGCUGGCGGCAGGCCUAACACAUGCAAGUCGAACGGUAACAGGAAACAGCUUGCUGUUUCGCUGACGAGUGGCGGACGGGUGAGUAAUGUCUGGGAAACUGCCUGAUGGAGGGGGAUAACUACUGGAAACGGUAGCUAAUACCGCAUAACGUCGCAAGACCAAAGAGGGGGACCCUCGGGCCUCUUGCCAUCGGAUGUGCCCAGAUGGGAUUAGCUUGUUGGUGGGGUAACGGCUCACCAAGGCGACGAUCCCUAGCUGGUCUGAGAGGAUGACCAGCCACACUGGAACUGAGACACGGUCCAGACUCCUACGGGAGGCAGCAGUGGGGAAUAUUGCACAAUGGGCGCAAGCCUGAUGCAGCCAUGCCGCGUGUAUGAAGAAGGCCUUCGGGUUGUAAAGUACUUUCAGCGGGGAGGAAGGGAGUAAAGUUAAUACCUUUGCUCAUUGACGUUACCCGCAGAAGAAGCACCGGCUAACUCCGUGCCAGCAGCCGCGGUAAUACGGAGGGUGCAAGCGUUAAUCGGAAUUACUGGGCGUAAAGCGCACGCAGGCGGUUUGUUAAGUCAGAUGUGAAAUCCC
rnacentral:rRNA from 1 species